rnacentral:rRNA from 1 species
UAGUAGAAAUGAUCUUAAAACUUAAAGAAUUUGGCGGUAUUAUAGGUCUAUUUAGAGGAAUCUGUUAUAUAAUCGAUAGUCCACGUUGAACCUUACUUAUAUUAUAUAAUUUCUUGUAUAUCACUGUUUUAGUUUUAUUUUUAGAUUAGGAUAAAAAAUAAUAAAUUUUUGUUAAUUCAAGUCAUGGUGCAGUAAUAUAUAAGAAAAAUAAUGGAUUACAAUAAAAUUUAUUUAAACGGAUUAAAAUUGAAACUUAUUAUAUUGAAGGUGGAUUUAAUAGUAAUUUUAAAAGAUUAUUAAAUUGAUUUUAGUUCUAUAA